rnacentral:misc_RNA from 1 species
AGUGGUAGUGGAAGUCGAACAGCAGCAGCAGCAGCCAUGUCCACCACUGUCGAAGAACGCGCAGAAGAAACUGUUGAAGCAGCAACGAUACGAGGUCAAAAAGGCGGAGAAAAAGGCAUUGCUGAAAGAGCAGAAGAAGAGAGAAGGGGAGCGCAAGCGUAAGGAAUGGGAGGAGAAGCUGGCCAGCGCCACCGAAGAGGAGAAACAACAGUUGAUAGAGUCGAGGAAGUGCUUAAGGAAAGAGAGAAUGGACCAACGCUCUGAUGAAAAAGGAAAGAAGAUGCAGAGGCUCACUAAUGCUAAAGAAAAUGGCCAAAAUGUAGUUAUUGAUCUCGAGUUUGAUAACCUCAUGAAUUCUAGUGAGCUCCAUAGCCUCGUUCAACAGAUCAUGUACUGUUAUGCGGUGAAUGGAAGGUGUAGUUCUCCUGCUCAUCUCUGGUUGACUGGCUGUCAAGGAGAAAUGCAAGCUCAGUUGCAAAGACUACCAGGUUUUGACAAGUGGGUAAUUGAAAAAGAGAACCGGCCAUAUAUUGAGGCAUUCGAAGAUCAGAAGGAACGCCUUGUGUAUCUCACUGCAGACUCAGAAACAACGCUAGACGUCCUUGAUCCAAAGCAUAUAUAUAUCAUUGGUGGGUUGGUGGAUAGGAAUCGGUGGAAAGGGCUAACCAAGAAAAAAGCAGAAGACCAAGGGAUUCAAACAGCAAAACUCCCUAUAGGAACUUACCUAAAGAUGUCUAGUUCUCAGGUCCUUACAGUCAAUCAAGUGGUAGAGAUACUUCUGAAAUACUUGGAGACAGGAGACUGGAAAACUUCAUUCUUUGCAGUGAUUCCACAGAGGAAAAGAUGUGAGGGUGAUAAUGAUAUUGAAGAUACGGAAGGGAACGAUGAUCACG